rnacentral:rRNA from 1 species
UACGUAGGGUGCGAGCGUUAAUCGGAAUUACUGGGCGUAAAGCGUGCGCAGGCGGUGGUGCAAGCCAGAUGUGAAAUCCCCGGGCUCAACCUGGGAACUGCAUUUGUGACUGCACGGCUGGAGUGCGGCAGAGGGGGAUGGAAUUCCGCGUGUAGCAGUGAAAUGCGUAGAUAUGCGGAGGAACACCGAUGGCGAAGGCAAUCCCCUGGGCCUGCACUGACGCUCAUGCACGAAAGCGUGGGGAGCAAACAGG